rnacentral:rRNA from 1 species
GACGAACGCUGGCGGCGUGCUUAACACAUGCAAGUCGAACGGAAAGGCCCUUCGGGGUACUCGAGUGGCGAAUGGGGGGGUAACACGUGGGUGAUCUGCCCUGCACUCUGGGAUAAGCCUGGGCUACUGGGGCUAAUACCGAUUAUGAUCAUCGUCUACAUCGUCGGUGUUGGCAAGCGUUUGCGGUGUGGGAUGGGCGGGCGGCGUAUUAGCUUGUCGGUGGGGUAAUGGCAUACCAAGGCGACGACCGGCAGCAGGCCUGAGAGGGUGACCGGCCACGCUAGGACUGGGAUACGACCCAGACCCCUACGGGACGCAGGGGAGGAGAGUAGUGCACAAUGGGCGCAAGCCUGAUGUAGCGACGCAGCGUGGGGGAUGACGGCCAUCGGGUUGUAAACCUCUGUCAGCACAGACGAAGCGAAAGUGACGGUAUGUGCAGAAGAAGCACCGGCUAACUACGUG